AUGCCAGAAACUGCUGCCUGCAGCUUGCCUAACCUGCAGAAUCUUAUGCCAACAGUGUUGUGCUGUGAGGAGGCAAAACCAUCAACUGAGGACUUGGGGGAUAAGAAGGAAGGCGAAUACAUUAAACUCAAAGUCAUUGGACAGGAUAGCAGUGAGAUUCACUUCAAAGUGAAAAUGACAACACAUCUCAAGAAACUCAAAGAAUCAUACUGUCAAAGACAGGGUGUUCCAAUGAAUUCACUCAGGUUUCUCUUUGAAGGUCAGAGAAUUGCUGAUAAUCAUACUCCAAAAGAAUUGGGAAUGGAGGAAGAAGAUGUGAUUGAAGUUUAUCAGGAACAAACGGGGGGUCAUUCAACGAUUUAGAUAUUCUUUUUAUUCUUUUUCUUUUCCCUCAAUCCUUUUUUAUUUUUUAAAAAUAGUUCUUUUGUAAUGUGGUGUUCAAAAUGGAAAUGAAAACUGGCAUCCCAUCUCUUUAAAACAUCCAGUAAUUUGAAUUCUAGUGCUCAUUAUUCAUUGUUUUCAUCAUGCUGAUUUUUUGGUGAUCAAACCUCAGUUUUCUUCACAUUGUCUUCUGCAUUUUAAAAAUUAAUGUGUGCACAAAGAGGCUGCAGAUUUCAGGACUGUGCAUUUUCAGGCUUGUGAUCAUAAGGUCGACCCGUGCGAUUGUUCCUGGUGGCCCUGAAGUUCGUGGCUUUUCAGGUGGCCCUGAAGUUCGAGCUUGUGAUUGCUUCACUCCUGGACUAUAACUUUCAGUGGGAGGUAGAAGUUUUUCAGAGAACCGAACUGUGGAAAAAUGACCUUUCCUUAACUUGAAGCUUAAAAUCUGAGGGUCUGGACCAAAAAGAAGAGAAACAUGAGCUUUCAUGUCCAGAUAACAGAGAUGGUGAGAGAUUGAUCAACUCCAAGGGUAGCUUCACUGAAGAGAAAGCAGUUUUAAGAUUUAAAAAGAUCUUGUCAGAAGAUCCCAGAAAAGUUAAUUUUCAUUCAAAAUUAAUAAAGUUACUCACGCAGAUGUAUGUAUAAUAGAACA